rnacentral:rRNA from 1 species
GACAGAGGGUGCAAACGUUGCUCGGAAUUACUGGGCGUAAAGGGCGCGUAGGCGGUCUUGUCAGUCCCUUGUGAAAUCCCCCGGCUCAACUGGGGAACUGCAAGGGAAACAGCAGGGCUUGAGUUCGGGAGAGGGAAGCGGAAUUCCGGGUGUAGCGGUGAAAUGCGUAGAUAUCCGGAGGAACACCGGUGGCGAAGGCGGCUUCCUGGACCGAUACUGACGCUGAGGCGCGAAAGCUAGGGGAGCAAACGGG